GACGAACGCUGGCGGCGCGCCUAACACAUGCAAGUCGAACGAGCGAGAGAGAGCUUGCUUUCUCGAGCGAGUGGCGAACGGGUGAGUAACGCGUGAGGAACCUGCCUCAAAGAGGGGGACAACAGUUGGAAACGACUGCUAAUACCGCAUAAGCCCACAGGUCGGCAUCGACCAGAGGGAAAAGGAGCAAUCCGCUUUGAGAUGGCCUCGCGUCCGAUUAGCUAGUUGGUGAGGUAACGGCCCACCAAGGCAACGAUCGGUAGCCGGACUGAGAGGUUGGCCGGCCACAUUGGGACUGAGACACGGCCCAG
rnacentral:rRNA from 1 species